GGCGGACGGGUGAGUAAUGCGUAGGAAUUUACCUCAAAGCGGGGGAUAGCCCGGAGAAAUCCGGAUUAAUACCGCAUGUGCUCUACGGAGGAAAGCGGGCCUCUUCUUGAAAGCUCGCACUUUGAGAUAAGCCUACGUCGGAUUAGCUUGUUGGUAGGGUAAAAGCCUACCAAGGCGACGAUCCGUAGCUGGUUUGAGAAGAUGGUCAGCCACACUGGGACUGAGACACGGCCCAG
rnacentral:rRNA from 1 species